GUCGGCAACGCGCAUGUAACUCCUCUGGAGUUGCAGGCGUACAUAGGCUACGGAGACUGCUUACCAUCAGGCGGGCCGUAUGCUUGUUUGCCACGGCCGGGCCGUAUUAGUUUUGAAAGAUAUAUCUAACGACACUCCACACUAAAGGGUUGA